UACGGAGGGGGCAAGCGUUGUCCGGACUUACUGGGCGUAAAGGGUGCGUAGGCGGCCUGCUGCGUCGGUGCUGAAAGCGCCCGGCUUAACCGGGCGAGGCGUGCCGAUGCGAGCGGGCUGGAGCCUUGGCGAGGGUGGCGGAACUCCUGGUGUAGUGGUGAAAUGCGUAGAGAUCAGGAAGAACACCCGUGGCGCAAGCGGCCACCUGGCCAAGAGCUGACGCUGAGGCACGAGAGCGUGGGGAGCGAACCGG
rnacentral:rRNA from 1 species